UAGGGAAUAUUAGAAAUGGACGAAAGUCUGAUCUAGCAACACCGCGUGUGCGAAGAAGGCCUUCGGGUUGUAAAAUCCUUUUGCUGGGGAAGAAUAAGUCCAGGAGGGAAUGCCUGGAUGAUGACAUGAACCGGCGAAUAAGUCCCGGCCAACUACGUGCCAGCAGCCGCGGUAACACGUAGGAGGCAAACGCUAUCCGGAUUUACUGGGCGUAAAGCGCGUGUAGGUGGUUCUGUAAGUAGGGCGUGAAAGCUCCUGGCUCAACUGGGAGAGGCCGUUCUAAACUGCAGAGCUAGAGGAUGGUAGAGGGAGGUGGAAUUCCGGGUGUAGCGGUGGAAUGCGCAGAUAUCCGGAGGAACACCAGUGGCGAAAGCGGCCUCCUGGACCAUUCCUGACACUCAGACGCGAAAGCUAGGGUAGCAAACG
rnacentral:rRNA from 1 species